GUAGGUGGCAAGCGUUGUCCGGAAUUAUUGGGCGUAAAGCGCGCGCAGGCGGUUCUUUAAGUCUGAUGUGAAAGCCCACGGCUCAACCGUGGAGGGUCAUUGGAAACUGGAGAACUUGAGUACAGAAGAGGAAAGCGGAAUUCCACGUGUAGCGGUGAAAUGCGUAGAGAUGUGGAGGAACACCAGUGGCGAAGGCGGCUUUCUGGUCUGUAACUGACGCUGAGGCGCGAAAGCGUGGGGAGCAAACAGGGAUUAGAUACCCUGGUAGUCCACGCCGUAAACGAUGAGUGCUAAGUGUUAGGGGGGUUUCCGCCCCCCUUAGUGCUGCAGCUAACGCAUUAAGCACUCCGCCCUGGGAGUACGGCCGCAAGGCUG
rnacentral:rRNA from 1 species